rnacentral:rRNA from 1 species
UGCAAGUCGAACGGCAGCACGGGAGCAAUCCUGGUGGCGAGUGGCGAACGGGUGAGUAACAUAUCGGAACGUGCCCAGUAAUGGGGGAUAGCCCGGCGAAAGCCGGAUUAAUACCGCAUACGACCUACGGGUGAAAGCGGGGGAUCGCAAGACCUCGCGUUAUUGGAGCGGCCGAUAUCAGAUUAGCUAGUUGGCGGGGUAAGAGCCCACCAAGGCGACGAUCUGUAGCUGGUCUGAGAGGACGACCAGCCACACUGGGACUGAGACACGGCCCAGACUCCUACGGGAGGCAGCAGUGGGGAAUAUUGGACAAUGGGCGAAAGCCUGAUCCAGCCAUGCCGCGUGUGUGAAGAAGGUCUUCGGAUUGUAAAGCACUUUAAGUUGGGAGGAAGGGCAGUUGCCUAAUACGUAACUGUUUUGACGUUACCGACAGAAUAAGCACCGGCUAACUCUGUGCCAGCAGCCGCGGUAAUACAGAGGGUGCAAGCGUUAAUCGGAAUUACUGGGCGUAAAGCG